UACGAAGGGGGCUAGCGUUGUUCGGAAUCACUGGGCGUAAAGCGUAUGUAGGCGGUUUGUUAAGUCAGGGGUGAAAUCCCGAGGCUCAACCUCGGAACUGCCUUUGAUACUGGCUGUCUUGAGUCCGGGAGAGGUGAGUGGAACUCCUAGUGUAGAGGUGAAAUUCGUAGAUAUUAGGAAGAACACCAGUGGCGAAGGCGGCUCACUGGCCCGGAACUGACGCUGAUGUACGAAAGCGUGGGGAGCAAACAGG
rnacentral:rRNA from 1 species